UGAGCUGCUAGCAGAUUAAUGGGUGAUGUACUUUCUCCACUUUGAACUAUCAAUUUAGGGGUGAAAGCAGAAGGAAGUUCUUAGCUUAAAGGUUUUUGAAUAAGUAAAAAACACAAUGUUUUAAACUGGACAAUUUAUAAUUUACUUUCAGAUGGCCAACUUAGCAUUUAUACGAGGUCAGCUUGAAAAUGCAGAACAACUUUUUAAGGCAACAAUGAGUUACCUGCUUGGAGGGGGUAUGAAGCAGGUAAGGACAUUGUACUACUGGUCCUUCAGUGAAGCAAUUUCCAGAAUAGUCACAUUUUCUGAAAACUUCCCCAUCCCCCCAACACAUUGCUUUGACCAAAAGAGGUAGAUUUUUUUUUUUGCUUGUAGACCUCUAUGAAAAUGGCUCAUCUUUCAUUAUUUCAAAAGCAUGGUUGCUGAGGAAUUCACAUUUGGCUAUUUCUUCUAAAAGAAUAAACUGUGGCUUUGAAGCCAAAGUCAGUCUAGAAGUUGAUAUGAAGUAUUCCAUGAAGAAAUUUUACUUGUCAUGAAUUUUUUUUUCUCCCAACAGGAAGACAACGCAAUAAUUGAAAUUUCCCUGAAGCUGGCCAGUAUCUAUGCUGCUCAGAAUAGGUAAGAAGUCAGAAUCUAGAUGUGGUAGCAGUCAAGGAAUAACACUGUGGGCAGAGAAUGUUGACCUGUGGGGUGUUACAUGACCUCAUUUACCUAAAAGUCAUCU
rnacentral:lncRNA from 1 species